rnacentral:rRNA from 1 species
GACGAACCGAGCGAACGUUGUUCGGAAUCACUGGGCUUAAAGGGCGCGUAGGCGGGCUGUCAAGUCUGGGGUGAAAUGCCGCGGCUCAACCGUGGAACUGCCUUAGAUACUGACGGCCUCGAGGAAGGUAGGGGCAUGCGGAACUGUAGGUGGAGCGGUGAAAUGCGUUGAUAUCUACAGGAACUCCGGUGGCGAAAGCGGCGUGCUGGACCUUUUCUGACGCUGAGGCGCGAAAGCUAGGGAGCAA